GACGAACGCUGGCGGCGUGCUUAACACAUGCAAGUCGAACGGAAAGGCCCUGCUUUUGUGGGGUGCUCGAGUGGCGAACGGGUGAGUAACACGUGAGUAACCUGCCCUUGACUUUGGGAUAACUUCAGGAAACUGGGGCUAAUACCGGAUAGGAGCUCCUGCUGCAUGGUGGGGGUUGGAAAGUUUCGGCGGUUGGGGAUGGACUCGCGGCUUAUCAGCUUGUUGGUGGGGUAGUGGCUUACCAAGGCUUUGACGGGUAGCCGGCCUGAGAGGGUGACCGGCCACAUUGGGACUGAGAUACGGACCAGACUCCUACGGGAGGCAGCAGUGGGGAAUAUUGCACAAUGGGCGGAAGCCUGAUGCAGCAACGCCGCGUGCGGGAUGACGGCCUUCGGGUUGUAAACCGCUUUCGCCUGUGACGAAGCGUGGGUGACGGUAAUGGGUAAAGAAGCACCGGCUAACUACGUG
rnacentral:rRNA from 1 species